rnacentral:rRNA from 1 species
CAAUAGCGUAUAUUAAAGUUGUUGCGGUUAAAAGCUCGUAGUUGGAUUUCUGCCGAGGACGACCGGUCCGCCCUGCGGGUGAGUAUCUGGGACGACCUGGGCAUCUUCUUGGAGAACGUGUCUGCACUUGACUGUGUGGUGCGGUAUCCAGGACUUUUACUUUGAGGAAAUUAGAGUGUUUCAAACAGGCCCACGCCUUGAAUACAUUAGCAUGGAAUAAUAAGAUAGGACCUCGUCCCUACCUUGUUGGUUCGUAUGGAUGAGGUAAUGAUUAAUAGGGAUAGUCGGGGGCGAUUCGUACUUAACUGUCAGAGGUGAAAUUACUUGGAUUUGUUUAAAGACGGACUACUGCGAAAGCAUUUGUCCAAGGAUGUUUUCUAUUGAUCAAGAACGAAAGUUAGGGGAGUCGAAGAUGAUUAGAUACCAU